rnacentral:rRNA from 1 species
CAAAGAUUAAGCCAUGCAUGUCUAAGUACUAGCAUUAAUACUGUGAAACUGCGAAUGGCUCAUUAAAUCAGUUUUGAUCUACUUGGCAUUCUAACUGCUUUGCUGCUGGAUAACCGCGGUAAUUCUGGAGCUAAUACAUGUGUAUAUAACGGUGUAUGCCGUUGCGUAUAUUAGAUAAAAACCAACCUGGGGUAAAACCYAGUCUUUGGUCGCUCAUAGUAUCCUUGCCGGUCUUCAGUUUAAUCUGGAGCCAGUUCAUUCGAUAUUCUGCCCUAUCAUUGCUUUUGAUUGCACGAUCGAGGCGUGCAAUGGCUUCUACGGGUAACGGGGAAUAAGGGUUCGAUUUCCGGAGGAGGGAGCCUGAGAAACGGCUACCACAUCCAAGGAAGGGCAAGCAGGGCGCGCAAAUUACCCAAUCCCGACACGGGGAGGUAGUGACAAUAAAUAACAAUGCAGGGCUUUUAUAGUCUUGCAAUUGGAAUGAGUACAAUUUAAAUCCUUUAACGAGGAUCAAUUGGAGGGCAAGUCUGGUGCCAGCAGCCGCGGUAAUUCCAGCUCCAAUAGCGUAUACUAAAGUUGUUGCAGUUAAAACGCCCGCAGUCGAACUUUAGUCUAUGGGCAGGUGUCCUAGCAUUCAGUUGUUUGGGUUCAUUUUGUCCGAGACUUUUGACUGGAUCUCCCUUGUCCUCGGACUUGGGGUCGAACCAGUCGAUUACCAUGAGCAAAUCAGAGUGUUUAAAGCAGGCUUUCAAGCUUGAAUGUGUUAGCAUGGAAUAAUGAAAUAUGACAUUUGGUCUAUUUUUCGUUGGUUCAAGACCAAAGUAAUGAUGAAUAGGAGUGGUCGGGGGGCAUUUGUAUUUUGGACGCUAGAGGUGAAAUUCUUGGAUUGUCCAAAGACAAACUACUGCGAAAGCAUUUGCCAAGGACGCUUCCGUUGAUCAGGGGCUAAGGUUAGGGGAUCGAAGACGAUUAGAUACCGUCGUAGUCUUAACAGCAAACUAUGCCGACUAGGGAUUGGACUUGA